GGCUCAGGAUGAACGCUAGCUACAGGCUUAACACAUGCAAGUCGAGGGUCUCAACGAGGUUCGCCUUUGAGAGACGACCGGCGCACGGGUGAGUAACGCGUAUCCAACCUGCCUUUCAUAUUGGGAUAGCCUUCCGAAAGGAAGAUUAAUACCGAAUAACAUGAGGAAGUUGCCUGAUUUUCUCAUGAAAGCUCCGGCGAUGAAGGAUGGGGAUGCGUUCCAUUAGGUAGUAGGCGGGUAACGGCCCACCUAGCCGACGAUGGAUAGGGGUUCUGAGAGGAAGGUCCCCCACACUGGAACUGAGACACGGUCCAGACUCCUACGGGAGGCAGCAGUGAGGAAUAUUGGUCAAUGGGCGCAAGCCUGAACCAGCCAAGUAGCGUGAAGGAUGACUGCCCUAUGGGUUGUAAACUUCUUUUAUACGGGAACAAACCUUGGUACGUGUACCAAAUUGCGUGUACCGUAUGAAUAAGCAUCGGCUAACUCCGUG
rnacentral:rRNA from 1 species